rnacentral:misc_RNA from 1 species
GAUGAAGAACGCAUCGAAAUGCGAUAAGUAAUGCGAAUUGCAGAAUUUCCGUGAGUCAUCGAAUCUUUGAACGCACAUUGCGCCCACUGGUAUUCCGGUGGGCAUGCCUGUUCGAGCGUCAUUAUCCUCCCUCAAACCCCGGGUUUGGUGUUGGACCCAAGUUGUGUGAACAACUGGUCUCAAAGACAAUGACGGCGUCCGUGGGACCCUCGGUGCAACGAGCUUUUAGGAGCACGCAUCGAGUUGCAAGGACCUUCCGGGCCGGUCUCCUUUACCAUUUUACAAGGUUGACCUCGGAUCAGGUAGGAAUACCCGCUGAACUUAAGCAUAUCAAUAAGCGGAGGA